rnacentral:lncRNA from 1 species
CAUGACUAACAUGCAACCACUUUAAACCACAUCUAGGCUUUGUGGCUACUAAAACACACGAUAGAAGAGAGAGACAUGUAAGCCAUUCUGGCUAUGUAAAGACUUCCCCCAAAAAUCCAUAUAAAAGUACCAAUAUUCAUUUCUUUGAGAACUGGUUUCUCAAUAUAAAAAAUCAUUCUUUGCAAAGAUAGUUGGAGCUAUCCACCAACCGCUCAACAACUUAAAUUCAAAUUGAUGAUUACCUUGUACCCCAAAACACGCAAUUCACACUCCUCUUAGAAACAUCCUCAAUAAGGCAUAUAUAACAAUAUUAUUGUAAUAAAACUCAACCAUGAAAAACAUGGUGAAAACAAGAUAGGCAUACUUGUAUAUCACAAGCAUAAUAACAACUUCAUUCUCACAAAUGACCAGCGAUAUCUACAGCAUUAAACAAACAAUAUUAAAAUUUCAGAAAUAAAUUAUAUCAAGCAUUAAGCCAUAAACAACUUACCACAUCACCGUAAAGGAAUAGGGAGGGGUGAGGUUAUUGUCAUCUGCACUUCAAAGACACUAACAUAUAUCAAAGAUAUUUAAACCCAUACCCUUCCUAUAUGUGCGAGUGUGUCAAAUUUAUCUUCAAAUUUCCAAGAAUCUAAAGCCUAUGCUCUGAUACCAACUGUAACACCCCGGGAUCCUCAAACACCCAGAAUGCUACUAAACUACACAUCUAACAUUCAUAUAUAAAAUUUCGACAGCAUCCCCUUUGAAAAUUACAUAAACGGGGAAGCAACAAAAUAUAAAUAGAUAUCAUGAUAUGAGAACAUAAUAGACAUUAAUAAUCUGCUAGCAAUGGAAAGACAAACAUAACGGCAUGAACUAAAUCAACCAGUGCGCACAACUAGUUACAAACAACAUCCUUUGACAAGAAGUUUCUAAUUAAAUCAUGACUGCGCCUAAGCAGCGUUAUUAUGAGAGUGAAGGUGGAUGUGCUGCUACUUCCCACUUCCCUUGAUGAGCAACAAGCACCUGCAUUGAGUAAUGCAAGAGUGAGAUGAAACAUCUCAGCAAGCGAAUUGUUUUGACAAGAUAUUUAAACCACAAAUUGAAUUAAUCAACAUUUUAAAAGAAUCACAAUUAAGAUAAGAAAUUCCUGUAGAUAUAGAACUCAGUAGUCUCAAUAUAACCAAUACCAUCUCAUUUCCUUAAACAACCACAAUAGUUUGUAUAACACUUCCCUGCGUCAACAAUACCUGCAAAUAUCACUUCAAUGUAUGCAUAGGAACACAAAGUGUAGGUACUCUGUCUUCAUACCUCUGAGGGUAUAAAACCACAUCAUAUGCAAAUAUCACUUCAAUGAAUGCAUAUGAAUGCAAUGCAUAUGUCCUCUGCCUUCAUACCUCUAAGGGUAUGAAGCCGCAUCGUACCCCUCCUCGGGCAACGUACGAUGCUAAGUUGUACCGGUACGGUCGGACCAUAGGUCACGACCCAACUUCAGAUGCAAGUGAAUCAUGCAAUGUAUAUGGCAUGCUUCAUUUAUCAAUAUACUUCACUUCCUUCACAUACAAUACAACCUCAAAUAAUACUUCAUUUACCUUCAGAUACAAUACCAACCUCAAAUAAUACUUCAUUUACCUUCAGAUACAAUACCAACCUCAAAUAAUACUUCAUUUACCUUCAGGGGUGUGAAUUAAUCUCAUGAGUCAUACUCGAAUCAUAAUCAUCAUCAAUAUAUGAUUGAGCAUCAAUAUAAUGCAAGCAAGUAAAGCAUCACCAUAGAGUCCAAUUAUGAAAGAAUCCAAUACUUCUGAAUAUUAGAGUGUAGGCAAUAGAAAUAACAGGUCAGAACGGAAGCAACCACCGCUACAUUCACUUGCCUUCAUCGAAGAAGAAAAAUGUACUAGGCAUGAUCUGGAGUGUAGCCACCUGCUAGCGGGCAUAAAACUUAGUACAAAUAUUUCACAAACAUUUGCCAACAAUCAACAAAUCGAUCCUACACCUGAAACCAAGACCUGGUGGAAAACCUCCCACUCUGAACCACAUGCCAUACAACAGCAAUGUUGUUUGUUAAUUUUGUAUCUUUAGAAUUAUAACAGUGGUGAUAUCAAACAAAUACUCCAUGAGUAUCUACAAAAAAUAUUCUACAACUUCGGUAUUCGAUGGAUAAUAAAAUUAUGCCAUCUAUAAGUUCUAAAACAUCUAACAAGAUAACUGACUGAAUCUGUUUUAGACAGCAGCAUAGUUAACUUUCAAAAUUCGAUAUCUCACAAACUACUCAACCAAAAAUCAUGAAAUUCUGCUGAAAGUAAGAAUUUUUAUCCCUCUACAAAAGUCUCCAUAGCUGGGAGAGCCAAUUCGGCCAUUUACUUGAUGAAACCUACCAGUGAACAGACCCGCUCAUUUCUGUCAGGCUAACAGAAACAGCCACAGUAAAACAAACAUAACUGAAGUUUCAUAAUUCAUAUGAAUGCACUCUUUAACAAUCUGGAAAGCUUAUAAAAUUAUCUACAUCUUUUCUUACAAACCCAAGGUUUAAUUCUGUUGAUAAAAUUACCUAAAUCUUAAGAGAACAGAUUCUGCACAGAAUUAAGAGACUGAAAAACUGCUAUAAUCAAACUGCAAUAACUCUCUGAUCUGAUGUCCGAUUGAGGUGUUCUUCGCGGCCACGGAAAGAUCUACAAAUUAUCUACGACUUAUAUAUAGACUUUUUAUUUUUUUGAGGCCCCUAAGACCACGGAAAACUGGGAUUAACAGAAACUGUCGAAUCUGCCAUUCUGCAGAAAACUAAAUUCGAGAUCAAAACAUAACCCCACAUCUAAUCCAACCUCUAAUCCUUUAAUUCCCAUGAUCCACAACCUCCAAAAGCACAUAAUUACAGGGAGGAACAAGGAUCUCAUCCAUACCUAGGGUUUCCCCAAGAAAUUUUGCAAGAGAGAUGGGGAAGAACAUCUCCUUGAUCCUCUCUUCCCCUUCAACUCAAUAUUUGUGCUCCUCCUCUUCUCGAUCCUUGCUGCGCGGGGGGAGAUCUAGAGGGAGGAGGAAGUCGUGGAGAGGGGCUGCCAUGGGAGGAGAGGACAGCCAGCCCAAGGGAAAAGAAGAGAGGGGCGGCCAAGUGUGGGAGGGGGGGAAAGGGGUGGCGGCCAAGUAGGGGCAAAAGGGG